UUACAAUUAAUGUACACCAAGAUUUAUUGUGAAGAGGAUUUUCUCCUUGUGUGUUUCUGGAUUCAACCAGUUUCUUCGAUGACUUUAAAGGAACGCCAGCUUUGUUCGUUGGGCAUGUUGACAAGUCAAUUAAGAAUCUGAAAUUGUAAAAACUUAAAAUGGCACUGAGAUUUGAGUAGCUCCAUGGGCUUGCCUCCUGUAAAAGGGUGUGUAAUAAAUAUAUAUUUCGUGCCAAUCCUCUCGCCUAAGUAGACAUUAUACCAUCAAAUCUACAUAUUUAAAAUUUGGUUCUCAGCAUUUCCAGCUCGCCUUUUAUUGCUUUCGUCUGUCCAGAGUUUGGCAUAAAAUACAUAGUUUUUGCAGUCAAUUAUUAAAAUCUUGGUUUAGAAGUUCGAUAAUGUGCUUCUUAAUA